GCCCCUGUGGUGUAAUGCUAGAGCACGCGUCCCCGCUAUGGAUGAAACGCGGGUUCGAAUCCUGCCUGAGUUCA